rnacentral:rRNA from 1 species
UACGGAGGGGCAAGCGUUGUUCGGAAUUACUGGGCGUAAAGGGCGCGCAGGCGGCUGCUCAAGUCAGGCGUGAAAGGCCUGGGCUCAACCCGGGAAUUGCGCUUGAGACUGGGCUGGCUUGAGUGCGGGAGAGGAUGGUGGAAUUCCUGGUGUAGCGGUGAAAUGCGUAGAUAUCAGGAGGAACACCUGUGGCGAAGGCGUCCAUCUGGCCCGUUACUGACGCUGAGGCGCGAAAGCUAGGGGAGCAAACGGG